AUUAUUAUUAAUAUUAUUAGUUAUAAUAAAAGAAAUAAAGUAAAGUAAGUAAAGUAGAAAGACAAAGAAACAAAAGAAGAACAGAAUAGAAACAGAGAAAGAGACGAAAAACAGGGGAAGAAAAAGGGAAAUAAAAAGAAAAGGGGAAAUUGAGAUUUUAAAGCUUCAAGUUAAUUGCUAACAAGGAAAACGAGGCAUCGGCAUCCAAAGGAAAAGAAAAGAUCGUUGAAGAGUAAACGCGUAUUCCGGGUUUGUAUUACUAUAACUUAAUCUAUUUAAUAAAUGAUAUAUUGAAAUUGUAUUCAUGAGGCAUUUAAAGUAAGGUAAGUGAUAACAUUUGAAAUUAAGUAAGAA